rnacentral:rRNA from 1 species
UCUUACCCAUGUCUUUUGAGUACCUUCGUUUCCUCGGCGGGUCCGCCCGCCGAUUGGACAAUUUAAACCAUUUGCAGUUGCAAUCAGCGUCUGAAAAAACUUAAUAGUUACAACUUUCAACAACGGAUCUCUUGGUUCUGGCAUCGAUGAAGAACGCAGCGAAAUGCGAUAAGUAGUGUGAAUUGCAGAAUUCAGUGAAUCAUCGAAUCUUUGAACGCACAUUGCGCCCCUUGGUAUUCCAUGGGGCAUGCCUGUUCGAGCGUCAUUUGUACCUUCAAGCUCUGCUUGGUGUUGGGUGUUUGUCUCGCCUCUGCGCGCAGACUCGCCUCAAAACAAUUGGCAGCCGGCGUAUUGAUUUCGGAGCGCAGUACAUCUCGCGCUUUGCACUCAUAACGACGACGUCCAAAA